UGAAGUGCGAUAACUAGUGUGAAUUGCAUAACUUCGUGAAUCAUCGAGUCUUCGAACGCAUAUUGCACUCUUUGGUUCUCCAAAGAGUAUACCUGUUUGAGUAUCAAAAACUUUUAUCCUACAAACUUUUGUGUUUUGUUGUUGUUGCAAAACAACAGCAGCAAAGCAAGAGUGAAUAGGGAUUUGAGGCUCUAGCUGUUAGCAGCUAUGCCUUUAAACGGAGGCUUCUUCUGGUACUAGGAACCACCUUCUCUCACUAAAG
rnacentral:misc_RNA from 1 species